AUUGAACGCUGGCGGCAGGCCUAACACAUGCGAGUCGAGCGGAUGAAGGGAGCUUGCUCCUGGAUUCAGCGGCGGACGGGUGAGUAAUGCCUAGGAAUCUGCCUGGUAGUGGGGGAUAACGUCCGGAAACGGGCGCUAAUACCGCAUACGUCCUGAGGGAGAAAGUGGGGGAUCUUCGGACCUCACGCUAUCAGAUGAGCCUAGGUCGGAUUAGCUAGUUGGUGGGGUAAAGGCCUACCAAGGCGACGAUCCGUAACUGGUCUGAGAGGAUGAUCGGUCACACUGGAACUGAGCCACGGUCCAGACUCCUACGGGACGCAGCAGUGGGGAAUAUUGGACAAUGGGCGAAAGCCUUAUCCAGUCAUGCCGCGUGUGUGAAGAAGGUCUUCGGAUUGUAAAGCACUUUAAGUUGGGAGGAAGGGCAGUAAGUUAAUACCUUGCUGUUUUGACGGUACCAACAGAAUAAGCACCGGCUAACUUCGUG
rnacentral:rRNA from 1 species